UAAAACGCAUUGUAGUGGAACGCCAACC
rnacentral:sRNA from 1 species